UACGGGGGGGGCAAGCGUUGUUCGGAAUUACUGGGCGUAAAGGGCUCGUAGGCGGCCAACUAAGUCAGACGUGAAAUCCCUCGGCUUAACCGGGGAACUGCGUCUGAUACUGGAUGGCUUGAAUCCGGGAGAGGGAUGCGGAAUUCCAGGUGUAGCGGUGAAAUGCGUAGAUAUCAAGAGGAACACCUGAGGCGAAGGCGGGUUGCUAGGCUGACACUGACGCUGAGGCGCGAAAGCCAGGGGAGCAAACGGG
rnacentral:rRNA from 1 species